UUGCCAUCCUUUUCUUGUUUCCUGUGUAUAAGAAGUGACCCAAAGGCAGAGGAGGAGAUAAUGCAGAAAAUCAUGAUGCAUGAGGGGGCCACAUCUGUGGGUACCAGCACCAGACUCUGUGUAACCCAAGUGAAAACAGCAAAAGAGCAUUUCAGGAGACAGUGGGGAAACUGCUGGAAGCCAAAAUCAUGUCACUCUGCUGGGCUGCACGGACUGUGGCUGGGAACCCAAAUAUUGUCUGUCAGACUGGGAGAGCUGGAUCAAAUAAUAAAGAC